rnacentral:misc_RNA from 1 species
UGUGGGAGCGGGCUUGCUCGCGAAGUCGGUGUGUCAGGCAACGUUAAUGUUGACGCUGACGACCCCUUCGCGAGCAAGCCCGCUCCCACA